CGUAAUCAUUCUAUUGCCAAACCCCAACACUUCAAUGAGUCUGCCUAGAACCUGGUUCCAUUUUUCUCUCAGAUAUUAGCCUCUUGGAAUCUGCUUUCUUGUCCAUAAGCCUGUAGAAUGCACUUUAUCAUAUUUUCAAACUUGUCUUCAGGUAGGAGCUUGGACUUUAGUGCAGUUUCCUAAGGAAAAGGGGCUUGUACCACCACACAGGUUGCCUGUCAUCCCCUGUGCCAUAACUUUCAAACCAGCUCUAACCGAGUUUGACACAAAGCCAAGAGUUCAAAUAUAUUAAUUUCCUAUGAGUUUCAUGAAAAUUGUCGCUGUGCCGAGCGUGGGAGAUAGACACUAUUAAUAUCUUGGCUGAGGAAAUGUCAGCACAGCUCAGCCCUUCUCUAGUCUGUUUGGCAGCAGCAUGUGCUUGUUCCUGCAGUGGGGAGGACAAAAUGGUAUUUAAGGGCAAUGGGACGUGAACCUGUAGGAAGACAGCUUUGUUUCAGAAUAAUUUCAAAAUUAAAAAAAAAAAAAAAAAGGAUUCCCUUAAUUUUGAGAGCUGGAAGCUAUAAAAUAAAUUUCAAAUGACAGAAAGGCAUUUUAAUGCAAUGGAGGGAAAGUUGAGCCAGGAGUGCAGGCCCAGUGGAGAAGUGAAACCAGGAAACUUUGGAAAUAACAACUGGGUCAUCACCUGACACCAUAGCUGCCUUGAAGCCCGGAGAGAGCAAGGUGCUGCUGAGGAGGACAAUUUGAAAGGCACUUUUGAAACACGGAAUAUAAACCAUCAGACUUAUUUGCCUUGAGGAGGAAGGGACUGAGUUAAUGGAAAACAGAAGUUUGUCUUUCUGAAGUAAUGUUAGUAAUAAAGUGUUUGUGAUCAGCUGACUGUCAUUACCACAAAUAUGAUGUGGUACCUCUCUCUGAAGCAAGUGGAAAUACUUCUCUGUUGUAAUCUGGACAUGUUACAUGCUUCCAAGUAUACGUGAUAAGACAUGCAGCCUAGAAACAUACAUCUCAGAUUAUUUUACUUCUCAUGGAUAUUUUAUUUGCUCUAGAAAAUACUAGCCUUUUCCCUUUCAUAACUGCUUUCUGCUGCCAUGAGUGGGAUGCAGGUUUUGUUGCACAGGAGAAAGUGCUAUUGGAAGGGAAUUGCUUUCUGAUCAGUGGGGAGUAUCAGACUUCACUGAGGCUAAUGAGCACGUUACCUCCCUUCUAUUCAGACUAAAUGAUGGAGCAGCUGAACUUCUUUGUCUUCAGCUGCAAAGGAAAAUGAGGGAUCCUGUUACCCUGUAUCAUAGACCAAGCUUGUCAGGGCAACGUAGAAGACAAAUUGUGGACUAAAGAGGUUCCUUGCCAUUUGAAAAGGAACAAGGCCUUGGGCUUUGGUUGGUCUGGGUGCAUCUGUGGCUGUUUUUUUCAGUGGCUGUGUACUAAUGCAGCUCCCACAUUCUUCGUCAUGCUGCUUAUUUGUCUCCCAUUCCUGCCUCUUAACAGGCCACAGGCAAUGGAAUUGGUCAGCUUUCUGAGAUGAUAGCCCUGCAAGAAGAACUUUCACUGCUGGAGAAAAUCUCAGGGGAAUCCUGGUACCUGAUCAGAAGGAGCCAAAAACGACAGCGAAAGAAGCAAAAGAACAAGAGAAAAUAGGAAAAGGGUCAGGAACAUGGCUCAGAAAUACUGUCUGUAGACUAAGUAAAACACUUUUGAAUAAAGCUUGGGAUAAAUAAAGAAAUGAUGAAAGAAUAAUGAAAAAAUAACGAAAAAAUAUUUUUGCUAUGUUCAUGGAAAAAUGAUUUUAUGUAAUUUUCUAAUCAACAAAACACAUGGCAUAAAAGAAGUGAUCGUAAUUAUAUCCAUAGUCUCCUUUUAGCAAAAGCAACUGUCAAGAUAACACAUUUUACUAUUAAGGGUAAAAUGAAGUACCAGCAAUGACAAGUGUGUCAGAAAUUAGAUCAAGCGUACAAAAAUUAGCCUGCGCAGUCAACUUGUUUUUUGUAAAGAUACUUGGAGCUGGCUACAAAGCAAGCUGCUGUUUACAAAUGCAAGGGUUUUGAUAAAUAAUUAAGGGAGGUUCCUGCAAACUAGGAGUAUAAUAAACUUGGCCUCAUAAAGACACCGCUGUAGUUACAAAUUGAUAAAUAAAGAGUGCUUUAGCUCUGGCAGCUGUUAGGUCAGGACAUCUCACUAUCAUUAUUUUUACAGAAAUAUUCACAUAAGAAAAGGGGGGCUAUCAGGUUAUGGUCCUUUUCACAGAGAGAGUGGAAAAUUUACACAGGGGACUGCGUCCAACUAGAGAAUCAAAUGACUACUGAGACUUAGUGGGAAGAACAUACUGCCUUAUGUUUUGUAUGCCAACAAGUUGAUAAUAUCUUUCUCUUUUUUUUUUUUAAACAAGCUGUCCUAUGUCAUGGAAUUACUGAAACCCAGUGUCACACCGGCGUGCACCCCUUCCCUUCAGCCCCUCUCCCCUGUCCUUUCCCAGCACUGACCCCAGCUCUUCUUUUAGGACUGGGCAGCUGCUCCCUGCUGAACCGAAUGAGAAACGGCUGAGCUGCCCCUCUUUGCCUCAGUUGGGGCAUUAAUAGGGUCUAGCCCUCCAUUCAGAUGCCCCCUUUCACAACUCUUAUGAGAACACAACAUCUUGGAGGCCUUUUAUCCUUUACUCAAAUUUGCAAGGAAUUGGUUAACCAGCUCAAAAGUUGCUUAUAGAGCACUGAGAGACUAGGAGUGCAAUUGCCGGUGCCUUUUAUCCCUAGGAAACGAGGCUAAAAUUAGGAACAGAAGAAUCUUAAGGUACUGAACUUAUUGACUUACCAGCAGCAAAGCUUUCUGCAACCACCUGUAGGCUGAAAAAAAGCUCUGCAGACGCAGUUUCAACAGAAACUAAGCAUAUGCAACCGUUCCUGGAAUCAGCAGUCAUGUUUGGGGUAAGAUAAGAUAUGGCUCCUUCAGCUGUAUAGAAACCAUUAGAAAACUAUAUUCUAGAACUUUUCUUUCCUAUGUAUCAGAAUGAUUAUCCCAUAAUUGCUGCCUUCUGACUCUUAGGUCUUUAGGGAGAAGAAAAUGCUCACUGUGAAGCAAAGAAGUUUUAAGCUGCUACCAGCUUGCGGUUUGAGAAUUCGUAGCAGGAUGGAGACUUUUCUGGUACCGCUGGAGGAGCAGCAGCUCAGGCUGUCAGAGAUGAUCUGGUUUCAUAAGGGAGGAAAGGUUAGCCCCUGGAUUCCCUGUGCUGGACCGACAACGUUUUGUAGAAAAAGGUAAGAAUUCUC